CAACACACGACACUGGCAAGCUGGAUCCCAGCCAACCAAUUGCGAACGUGUUUUUAAAAGCAAAAUGAAACCUCGGGUAGAAGGAAUCUCUCCCUCCAUCCCUCCCUAUACUAUUUGGGAUGUGGGGCCAUAGACAUCUGUACUGCUCAGUUGGGAAGGGAACAUCUGCACGAAAUCUAGGACCAGAAGGUACAGAAGGAAUCCCUUACAGAAAUCCCACAUGCGGAACGUUUCAUAGAGACGUCAGAGGACUAUCACACCCCAAAUGCUUCCCUCUGUGAAAUACCAGAGAUACCACUGACCUUCUGCAGGCCAGAGCAGUCACUGGAAAAAGCAAGGACUCAAGAGGAAGAACUUGAUUCCCAUCUCGUCUUUUUGGACUUUUAUUCCUACUAGAUACAAGUUGAAGCUACCCCUGUCUGUUUUGACAUGUGGUCUGCUUAUUUGUGCAAUUUACUGCCCUGCUGACCUUGUCGUGGGUGCUGAGGAGCCACAUGUUGGAGGAUACUCAGGGAGAAGGACUCCUGGAUAAAGAUCAGCUGCACACUGUGAUCCCUACACCAGAUAGAAGAGGAAGCUGCAGUCUCUGAAAAGGCUGUCCAUCAGAUGACAUCACAACUGAGAGAUGAGUACAAAGGAAGUACUAUCCAAAACAUGCUUGAUUCCACACUCCCAGAGCAUAAAGUCACUGUAUAGAUAUAAUUUUAGUUGCUUUUUAAGAACUAUAGUUGUGUGUUGCACAGAUUAUAUAAGUACCAUAGGCAAAUAUACCAAGCAGGGGUGUUAGUUUAAAAAAAUAAAUAUAUAAAAGAAACAUACUAGAUUAAUUCGCAUUACCCUCUAUAGACCACACAGAAAAUUAAGUGAACAAAGUGCUUAGAAUAUGAAACUCCAAAAUAUAUAUCUUUUAAAAAAGCAUGCAGGACAUGGAGUAGGGAUUAUUAACUUUACUGAGAAAAAAAUCUAAAGAAGUGCUAAAUAUAUAGUGAGAUAAAAAUAUUUUUUAAGUUAGAAAAUAUGAUGAUAAUAUUGUAACAGAAGCACCUUGCUUCCAUCACAAUUUAUUUUCCCUUUAUUCUAUGAUAACAGAAUUGUGAAUGAGCCCAUGACUGUUCACUACAACAGACACCUCUCAGGUGUAACUGACUUCCCUCCCACAGAAGGUGAAUUGAGACACUGCUUCCAACAUUUAUCGAGAGCACUUUCCCUUCCCAUUGGCCAAAACCAGGAUGUUGCAACAGGACCACAUUGGAGGUUUCUAGGUUAUCAGAGGCCUUUACUACAUCUAUGUGAUUUAAAUAGUGACUAUAGUGUAUAAGAACGUAAAUUUGAAUUGAGCAUUCAGUUUAUUUUUCCCCUGCCUACUUAAGUUCUGCCCUAUCAACAAGCCCAGGCAAUUUUCAUUAUUAACCAGUGGUAUUCACAGCAUCCAGAGGGGACUCCCACAUCAAAGUCUGACCACUUUACGGCGUUUAUGUUUUGCUUCACAUAAAGCCUUUUCCCUUCUCUUUACAAAAGGCUAACCUGGCUACAGCAAUCCAACCUUGGUGAGAACAUCCAGAGGGAGGCACCAGACUUCAGGCAAGAGAUGACACUCCUCUGAAAGAGAGCGAUGAGGAGGUGACCAUCAAAAGGGCCUUGGACGUGGAGAAUAGUGCAGCACACAGGAUGCAGUGGGUGAUAUAUUUGCUUGUACCCAUGGAGACCAAAAGAGACUGUUACAGAGAUUCGUCAAUGACUUGACAUAGAUGCCUGGAUACAAACAUAUGGUAAAAGUAACAAGUGCUUUUACACUGAGCCAUCUCUCCAGUCCUCAAAAUGCCUUUUAAAACAGAUUUACUUAUAGCAAAUUUAUUAUUUUUACAAUUGACUUUUUUAAAAAUAGAUUUGCUUUUGCAGUAAUACAAGUGAUGUGAUUCUGAAACAAUUCAGAUACGUUACAGGAUUGAGCCGUGAAUGAGCGAUCUUAUACUGUUGAAAGUCGAAGUCUUGCUGUGGAAAAAGGGUCACAUACAUAUUUUUUUAAGGAAUGCAUUGCAACUAGAGAGAUGGGGAGGGGAGAGGAGGAAGUCUCUUACCUAAGGCUGAAUGCUGGCAAGUAAAUGUCAGGGGUGGGAAGAGAUUGAAAAAUACUUUACACUAUCAUAGUAUCCAAAGGAAGAUUGAAUCAGACAAGAAACACCAACGGAUGCUAAAUCUAAAAAGAGAUUUUGAUGAAGACCAGAAACUUGGCAUGGACUUAAUGGGUCUUACCACACAUGCUGUUAAUUAAUUUCAAGGUGAAAACAAAGCAAUUAUACAGGGUGAAAACUAAGCAACACUUUCACUGCCCUAUUGACCUCAGCAGAGAGGAGCAGACGGCCUCUGUGUGACUCCACGUAGGACGCCUGGGGAAGGACACAGUGACCUCAGAGAAGCAUCUGGUGUAGAACGCAUACUUGACUCUAACCAAGAGAAAACAGAAGACCAACGAGGAAUAUUCGAGCAAAAAAGAGGACAGUGACAGACUUCAAAAUGUUAUUGAGACAGAAGACAAUUGAAGGUUAUGGAAAUAUCUGAGCACAGGUCAUGUCCUACAUUGGAGGGAGAAAUGCAGCGAAGUAAGGGGUUGAGACCUUCAAAAGGCUAAGAGCUUUGUGGCCCCAGUGCCUAUGUGUGAUAUUCCCUUCAAUUGUAGACUGGAUUCUUAUUAUGAAGAAGGAUAUUACUACUUUUAGGAAAUGUCUAGGGGCUAGUGGUGCAUAGGAAAAGGACUGGGGUGGACAGUUUAAUAUUCAUAUAAUGGUUAAUGUGUGGUGAGGAAACAAACUGGCAAAGACAGAGUAAAUUGCAGCAGUAGUUGAAUCCCGUGGAAGGCUGAAAAUGUGCUCUGAAUACUCUUCAUGUUAAAUUUU